GGCCUAACACAUGCAAGUCGAGCGGAAACGACACUAACAAUCCUUCGGGUGCGUUAAUGGGCGUCGAGCGGCGGACGGGUGAGUAAUGCCUAGGAAAUUGCCUUGAUGUGGGGGAUAACCAUUGGAAACGAUGGCUAAUACCGCAUGAUGCCUACGGGCCAAAGAGGGGGACCUUCGGGCCUCUCGCGUCAAGAUAUGCCUAGGUGGGAUUAGCUAGUUGGUGAGGUAAUGGCUCACCAAGGCGACGAUCCCUAGCUGGUCUGAGAGGAUGAUCAGCCACACUGGAACUGAGACACGGUCCAGACUCCUACGGGAGGCAGCAGUGGGGAAUAUUGCACAAUGGGCGAAAGCCUGAUGCAGCCAUGCCGCGUGUAUGAAGAAGGCCUUCGGGUUGUAAAGUACUUUCAGUUGUGAGGAAGGGUGUGUAGUUAAUAGCUGCGCAUCUUGACGUUAGCAACAGAAGAAGCACCGGCUAACUCCGUGCCAGCAGCCGCGGUAAUACGGAGGGUGCGAGCGUUAAUCGGAAUUACUGGGCGUAAAGCGCAUGCAGGUGGUUCAUUAAGUCAGAUGUGAAAGCCCGGGGCUCAACCUCGGAACUGCAUUUGAAACUGGUGAACUAGAGUACUGUAGAGGGGGGUAGAAUUUCAGGUGUAGCGGUGAAAUGCGUAGAGAUCUGAAGGAAUACCAGUGGCGAAGGCGGCCCCCUGGACAGAUACUGACACUCAGAUGCGAAAGCGUGGGGAGCAAACAGGAUUAGAAACCC
rnacentral:rRNA from 1 species